rnacentral:rRNA from 1 species
GAUGAACGCUGGCGGCGCGCCUAACACAUGCAAGUCGAACGGUUAAAGCACCUUUUAGGUGUGUAUAAAGUGGCGAACGGCUGAGUAACACGUGGGCAACCUGCCCUCCUCUUGGGGAUAGCCUCGGGAAACCGAGGAUAAUACCCGAUACUUCAAUGUGGCCGCAUGACGACAUUGAGAAAGCUUUUGCGGAGAAGGAUGGGCCCGCGGCCUGUUAGCUUGUUGGUGGGGUAGAGGCCUACCAAGGCAAUGAUGGGUAGCUGGGUUGAGAGACCGACCAGCCAGAUUGGGACUGAGACACGGCCCAGACUCCUACGGGAGGCAGCAGUGGGGAAUCUUGCACAAUGGGCGAAAGCCUGAUGCAGCGACGCCGCGUGCGGGAAGAAGGCCUUCGGGUUGUAAACCGCUUUCAGCAGGGACGAGGCGAAAGUGACGGUACCUGCAGAAGGAGCCCCGGCUAACUACGUGCCAGCAGCCGCGGUAAUACGUAGGGGGCAAGCGUUAUCCGGAUUCAUUGGGCGUAAAGCGCUCGUAGGCGGUCUGUUAGGUCGGGAGUUAAAUCCGGAGGCUCAACCUCCGUUCGCUCCCGAUACCGGCAGACUUGAGUUUGGUAGGGGAAGGUGGAAUUCCUAGUGUAGCGGUGGAAUGCGCAGAUAUUAGGAAGAACACCAGUGGCGAAGGCGGCCUUCUGGGCCAUAACUGACGCUGAGGAGCGAAAGCUAGGGGAGCAAACAGG